AAAAAGUCAAUAAUUGACGGCUUACUGUACGUUUGUUUGGUGCUAGCCUACUACACUCGACGAGCUCAAAUUCUGUUUUCUCAAUCUUCACUGCAAUGGUAGGUCAACCCACGUCCGUCCGCCGCUGACCUUCCUCAUCAUAAAUUAACAAGAAUAAUAUACUCCACUCUCUCUCUCUCUCUCUCUCUCUUCAAAAUCCCCAAUUUUUGCAUUUAGGGUUUCACAAAUCGUCAUCUUUGUAAUCAGCGACCGACAUAAUCAAGCAUUGCGAAGAGCUUAAUUGCAGUUUUAAGGAGAAUUACGAAGCGGGAUUUGCGAUGCCGCGAAGAUGAGAGGAGGGGUACGACGACGAGAUGAUAACGGCGGAGAUUGCAUUUGAUUGAUGAUUUGCCAGAGGAAGAUGAUAAGGGAGAGGAGGAAGACCAUGAUGAUGAGGAUUACGGCGGUGGCAGUGGAAAGAGGAAUGCAAAGAAGAGGUCGGGGUCUCAUUUUUUUGAACUUGAAGCUGAAGUUGAUAGUGAGGAAGAAGAAGAUGAGGAGGAAGGCGAAGAUGGUGGUGUUCAUAAAAACGGCUGUAGGAAGCAUGACAGUUGAAGUGCCAGAGGACAAGCUAAGGAAGUAUAUGAGUUGAUUCGAGUACCAAGAUUGGUUAAAAAGAUGACAGUGGAAUUAUUGGUUUCAGUCAUCUGAUGUCAACUAUAUCUGAUGUGAAAAGCUUCACCAAUGAUAUGGUUUCGCUGACAUUAGUAGCAGUACAUGAUAUGGCAAUCGCAAGAGCUGGACUAUAAUGAACAUGUGAAUUAUAUGAUUUAGAGAGCAAGGAGGUGAUUUGAGCAGUCCGCAUUUUAAGCUUGCCUCUUGAUUUAGCAUCGGUUACAGCUACGGAUUGCUGCAGAUUAGUUUCUUUGUCUCCACCCUGUUGUAGAAGCUGUUUAAUAGCAAUACUCUGUUGGUUAUUGUGCUCAUUAUUUUGCUGUAAGUUGCACCCAACUGGAAGUUCUUUUUCCUAGAAGUAUUUUUUUUUUUAAUUUAGUAUUAAGGCAACAAAACAGAACACUCAAAAACUUCAGAAGUAACUUUUUCUCCUCUUUAUUUAUCAAGAAAGUAAUUUAGAAGUAUGAGUGAGUGAUUGUAGCUUGUUUUGCUGAUCGUUAGUUGUUUUCCUUUGCAUCCUUUAGAUCCUAUAGAUCCUUUAGCUUAUCAAUUGAUUUUUGUUUAGAUUCUUCAAACUUGUCCUUUUUUCCAGUCUGCCAUAACUCAAAAAAAUUUGUUUUUGGGAAAUUCUUGAAUAGUGCAUGCAUGAGAAGUAGCUAAAAACUGAAUCAGUUACCAUUAGUAGCUUUCCUUGCUUUCCUCUUUUGAUAAGCUUCUCUCUGUUUAGCUUGACAAGCUUCUUUUUCUUCCACUGAUAAGGAAGCAUAUUUUUCUCUUGAUCUUCGGUUGCGAAUAAUGUUCUUAUUCGUUGAAUGUGCAAGUGGAUCGGUUGAAGCCAUGGUUUACAGUUUAUAGCAUGAAUAAAGGAAGCAAAAGCUAGCGGAUGAGUUGAAAAUACAUGCAGUUGUAGAUAUACAAGCAUCACCGAUAGAACAGGGAGAAGAGAUGGCUCAAUUUUCUAGUCUACAACAGCAAAAGUAAAAAGCUACUGUAAAAUGACUAUGUUAGACAUCAGCUGAAAAUAUAUAGUCUAUUCAAUGACUAUUUUGAGGGAGGAAAAUGUAAUUAAACAAGACAAUGAGCUGGCUGAUAGAAAUAAACAUCAUAUCUCAUUAAUGCUGCACAACAAUCAAUGUUUCACUAACA